AACGUAGGACGCAAGCGUUAUCCGGAGUUACUGGGCGUAAAGCGCGGGCAGGCGGUUGGUCAAGUCUGAUGUGAAAUCUCCUCGCUCAACGGGGAGCAGCCAUUGGAAACUGGGCAACUGGAGUCUGGCAGAGGUAGGCGGAAUUCCGGGUGGAGUGGUGAAAUGCGUAGAGAUCCGGAGGAACACCAGAGGCGAAGGCGGCCUACUGGGCAAGUACUGACGCUGAGCCGCGAAAGCCAGGGGAGCAAACGGG
rnacentral:rRNA from 1 species